rnacentral:sRNA from 1 species
AAGCCCCGGUGGCCGAAUGGGUAAUGCGGCCACCUGGUAGCGCCUUGGCGUGGGGACCCAAGGCGCGUGGCUCCUUAAAUAAAGGAAUGUGAACUUGCCAAGUAGGUACCUUCGGGCGGACCUACUACCUGAUUUAGCUGAUUUUUCCUGGGCUGGGAACCUGUAUUGCAUGUACAGAUCCGUACCAAAUCCUGUCUUUCAUUAAUUUUCCUAUGUUCCUGUUAUGUCUUGGCGUCGUUCAACACUAAGCAUUCCUCCUGUAAAACCAACUCUUGCCUGUAUUUAACAUCACACAAGGACUCGUCAUAAGCACCGCUUGCAUACGAGUAUAAUGGAAGAAUAAUAAUAAUAAUAAAAAAAGAAAG